ACGUGCAACCUUGACAUUGAGUUUAUGUGCAUAAGAUGAUCUCCCAACGUUUUGUCGUAGUUUCUUGAAUGAUCACUCUCUCAUCAGAUCUCUAUAACUUUGGAAUUUGUUGGAAAGUAUUUCAGCUAAGUAAGUUUCUCUUUGAAAAAACUUCAAUAUUCAUCUUAGCAAAUUUCUGAGCAAUUAUUUCAAUACCGAGAAAAAACGUGGGUAAUAUUGAUUUGUUCAAUACUACAUUGAUCUACAAUAUCAAGACUUUGUUACACAUUAUCGAAAUCUUGGAAAAUGUUUUUAGUUUAUGCAAAAAAUCACAAUUAUUCAAUUGUAAUUAACUUCCUCUGAUUCGUUUUUACAAGAAAAGUUCCACAGAUAAGAUAUUUCCUUGAAAACAAAGAAGUGUACGCAUAAAGCACUGAAUUCGAAUUGAUAGGCCAAAGUAUAACACCAAGAUAAAAAGUUUUAUUAGAAUCAAUUAAAGAAAUGAGCUAAAUAAAAAAAUGGAUUUUAUAUGCGAAUAUUUGACAUUAAACAUAAAUCCUUUGUUAUCCUUUUCAGAUAAUCAUGAGACUCUUUAUGAAAACUAUAUAUAAUAAGAGCUUUGCAUCUAAUCCUUACCUAUAUUUGGUGGCUAAGAGAUCAGUUGCUUCAACUCAAGCGAAGCCUGAAGUUCUAUCUAAACAUAUGAAAAUAAGAAAGGCUUUUGAUUCGAAAUUGAAUGCUGAUGAGAGACCCUUAAUUUUAUUGUAUAGUUGGUUGAGGGCCAAAUCAAGUCAUCUAAAUAAAUACAGUGACUUUUAUCUGACAAAGGGUUUUGAUGUAUUACAAAUAACCACUACUCCCUCUUCAAUUGUUGCACCUAAAAAAGCAAGAAAGAGCAUGGAAGAAUUGCUAAAUUAUAUUAAUUCCGAACACGACCAUAAACCAUUAUUUGUUCAUGGUUUCUCAGUUGGUGGUUAUCUCUUUGGCGAAACUUUAAAACAUAUGAAAGACAAGCCUAAAUUAUACGAAAGUGUUAGCAGUAGAAUUAAGGGACAGUGCUUCGAUUCCCCAGUAGAUGUUUCAAAUAUUGCCAAAGGACUUGCUCAUGUGCUAGCCCCAAAUAAUCCUAACAAAAAAGCAUUUUUGAAAAGUGCUUUUUCUCUUUAUCUUCAAUUAACAAAAAACAUAACUGGCUCUUAUUAUAAUGCAAGUCAAGAUCAGAUCUUGAAUAAUUAUUUCGGAAUACCAACAUUGUUUUUCUACAGUAAAUCUGAUCCAAUUUGUUCGUUCGAAUUAAUUAAUAGUAUAAUAUCUGAUCAUGAAAGAAAGAAUAUUCCAGUUUUGGGGAAAUGGUGGACAAGUUCUCCUCAUGUUUUACAUAUGAAACAAGAUCCUGUUGAGUAUAUUGGUUCGUUGAAUAAUUUCUUAGAAAGCGUCGAUCUUCUUCCAAAAGGACAUUUAGAAAAAGAAGAUAUGAUAUCAAAAACUGAAAAGAUUAAGGAAACCUCAUAUGGUAUUUAGGAUUCAAGAAAGUUUAACUUAUAUAUUUUCUAAUAAUAUUUCCUUUCUUCCUAUUGAAAAGUAUUAUCCUAAGGUCUUAAUUUAAAUUUAACUAUCAGAACUCUUUAUAAUAUUUUACUUAUCGAUUUCGUUGCGUGUUGACAAUGUUAUUUCUAUUUAAGAUGUUUAUUUCCUAUUCAAAUAAUAGAUAACUCUUUAUAUAUUUAUAAAUAUAUACAAUAUUUAAGCACAUAAAGUAUAUAAAAUAUAUACUAAUUAUAUACCAAAUGCGUAGUAUUUAUCGUUCAAAAUGUACACCAGAUUAGACAAAGCUCCAUCUGGCGGCUAAUCAAGGUGGCGCUGCUAGGUUGUCAGUCUUAAUCCAAACAGGAAUCUUUGGUUUAUUUCAAAUCCAAUUAGAUUUAGUUGUGAUUAAGUAAAAAAUCUGAUGUGUCUCAGUAAGAUCACGCAAUAUCAAUAAUGUUGGUGUUGAAAUUGCGGCGGUAUGCGUAAGGAAUGAAAACAAAUGAUUUUUCGCAGUUUGUCUAAAAUAAACUAUAUCGAACAUCUUUCACUUUUGGCGGCUUUUUUUGAUAUGAACGAUAAACUGGAAUUUCUUUGGUAUAUUUAUUAUGGCAUGGGACUGAGGGGGGAGGGGAGAAGGUUAAAAAGAGAGGUGCAAAAGGGGCUUGUAUAUUUUUUAACUCGAGAAAGAAAAAGAAGAAUAAAAGAAAUAAUUAUAAAGCUAAUUUUUUUCCUUCUUUCCUUUGUUAAUUUACGGUUUGAAAACUUUUCUGAAAAGGUAAAGAAAGAUAAUAAAAAUAAAGGAAAAAGAAGGAAUUCAUUUAACUUUGUCACUUUGAUUCACCGAUUUAGCCAGAUUUAUGAGCCGAGAUAUCUUUAGUACUUAAUGACUUAUAUUUCUUUAUUUCUUUUCUUUUUGUGUUGUGUAGUUUGAUUCAAUUCGUUGACCUUUUUUUAUUUUGUUUUGGUAUUAUUUGAAAAAGUAGGAUAAAUUUUUAAUAUUUGUCGGAUAUAAGUUUUAACACUUGGUAGCGUCUUUAUAUAGAGUUUAUAUAUAUAUAUACAGUAUAUAUUGAAAUUUAAUAGAAAAGAUAUAAUCAAUGAAUGGAAUGAGCUUCUUUGUCAGAUAUAUAUUUCCAUAUACCGCAUAGUAAUAAAUAUACUUUCUCUCUCUC
rnacentral:misc_RNA from 1 species